rnacentral:lncRNA from 1 species
AAACGAACCAAAUAGCAAGGCCCAGCCCAAAAUACAAGAACUCAGGUAUUGCACCUGUGACGAGCGUCACAGAGGCUGUGACGAGCGUCACGCCUUGCGCAUCCCUGUGACGGACGUCACACAUGGUGUGACGAACGUCACACCAUUCCCCUACUUUUUGGGCGCCAGUAACGCCUCAGAGACUUGAAGAGACUUGAGGAAUGUUGGGCCCUAUAUCCAC